CCGUAGAAUAUCUGGUCGGAUCCUGGAACAAACUUCGUUGGGGCGGAACCUGUCCUGUAAGAAAUGUAUUCUUACCUGAGAGUAAAACCAGUAAAGACGGUAAAACCAAGGACUACUUGGAAGGUAUGUUGCAAAAAAUGGUAUCUGCUGGAUGUGGAGAAUGUUUCCAGCCGAUUCACCCCACCGGAAUGGUCCUGCCGAAGCUCCUGUCAAGGUCAUCAAAAAGCCCUGCAGAGUCUUGGUGGCGGAGGAGGCCUUACCUUCAGAGAUUUCCUGACCGUGCUUAAGCUAUCUGCCAACCUUGCCAAAGAAAGCACUGUGAGCACUAGUUUUACAUCAACUACAUCAUUCCAAACACACUGCUGCUUGGCCUAGCCACUGGAGAUCUCAAAACAGUCCACUACAACAUCUACCCCUUCAAAAGACUGCAAGCAAUGCAAACACAAGUCAGCCACUUCUGGAUGUCCUGGAGUAAACAUGCAGUACAGAACCUUGCUUCAGUCUGGCAUCAGCAUUGGGCAUGGCCACCACUGUGGAGCUCUUCCUGACCAGGCAUCUGCAUCUUUCCUGCAACGGGUGAGAGGAGCAAGGGACGCAUGGGCUCCGCUCCCAUGGCCAUCGCCUUCUGUCACCAUGGCCAAUCUCAUGGGAAUGUUCUACACUGGAGCUGAAAUGAACCCUGCCAUACUGUAUCCUUCGCCCCUGCUAUGUUCAAGAGGAAGUUCAUGAGCCACUGGGUGUACUGGGCGUGACCUGUGGUGCUACGGACGCCAUCAUGUACGACUUCAUGCUCGUCCCGCGCAUGCGUUGCCUGACUGAGACUAGCCACCCUGAAAGGCAGCUGGCCCCCGGAGGUGAACCAGCCUGACACACGCAGGCAGCCCAUCAAGGUCAAGACCCACGCCCUAUACGCCUGCCACCCAGGGAAAACGGGGGCCAGCCACGCUUAUUAUAGUAGGCCCCCCACUGUCAGCCACACCAUCAUGGACAUAGCGAAGUGCAGACACAUACAUACACACAAGAAUUCUAACCAACGCCACAAAGGGACACGUAUGUACUGAAAUGGCAAAAACCAGACAUAUGAACUAACACAAUAAAGACAGCCCUUGCACAUCAGUGCUAGGGGGAGACUGUGCUGAUAGUCUAAAUGUUAGUGGCUCUGACAUGGACAAAGGCAUAAAUACGCACAAAGUGGGACCCAGUCCUGGUGGUACAAAAGUGUUGUUCUCAGUGGAAGGGAGGAGCACUCAGAAUCUACAACUCAUGUCCAAGUUCACUGUUCUAGCUUACUCCCUGGCAUUUCAUUUUAUUUACUGAGUGUGCGUGAUGGACCUACCGAUCGUGUGUGCGC